rnacentral:tRNA from 1 species
ACGUUCUUAGCUCAGUGGAUAGAGCAACAGCCUUCUAAGCUGAAGGUCACAGGUUCGAUCCCUGUAGAGCGUG